UCCACGGUGGGAAUGUGCACUUGCUCCAGGACAGUCAUCCCUGACCGCUCCUGCGGGAGGGCCUGGGGGUCGGGUACCGCUGGACACAGGCUGCAGAACACCAGGCCCCCUUCUGAGUGCCCCCAUAACGAAGGGCUGAAGGCUGCAGCACAGGCCAGGUGCCCUAAAAUUGCAAGAGAUGCAGCUAAUGGAGGCUACUAGUGGCUCCCUGAGUCCUCCCUCCGACGCAGAUUCGUCCCUGGGGCCAAGAGGCCAGUCUGAAGAGGGAAAGGAGAAGGGGAGAGUGAUCCUCCUGUGGCGGCCAAGGAAGAUCUUCUGGCGGAGGCCAGAGUUCAGAGCAGGACAACGUGAGCGCUGCUUACCCUGCCCCCUGCCCUCGACGCUGAAGCCACGCAGCAGGCAGGCGAGAAGGUGCCUUCGAAGUCAUAAACGGACAUUCUCAGAUCAAGAAAGAAGGCGAAAGGCAUUUAGAGGAAAAAAGCUCAAGCGGGGUGGCAGGCAUACGUGUGCUGAGUCCUGCAUGGCCUAAGAGAGAUGACCCUGCCCACUUCAUACACAUCUGAGCGAUUACUAUGCAUGUGUGCACGCAGGUAUAUAAUAUGCUUCCUAUAAAAUAAAUACUGAAUAAAUUAA